rnacentral:rRNA from 1 species
GGUUAACUUGACGCUUGAGGCUCGAAAGCGUGGGGAGCGAACAGGAUUAGAUACCCUGGUAGUCCACGCCGUAAACGAUGAGUGCUAAGUGUUGGAGGGUUUCCGCCCUUCAGUGCUGCAGCAAACGCAUUAAGCACUCCGCCUGGGGAGUACGACCGCAAGGUUGAAACUCAAAGGAAUUGACGGGGGCCCGCACAAGCGGUGGAGCAUGUGGUUUAAUUCGAAGCAACGCGAAGAACCUUACCAGGUCUUGACAUCCUUUGACCACUCUAGAGAUAGAGCUUCCCCUUCGGGGGCAAAGUGACAGGUGGUGCAUGGUUGUCGUCAGCUCGUGUCGUGAGAUGUUGGGUUAAGUCCCGCAACGAGCGCAACCCUUAUUGUUAGUUGCCAUCAUUUAGUUGGGCACUCUAGCGAGACUGCCGGUGACAAACCGGAGGAAGGUGGGGAUGACGUCAAAUCAUCAUGCCCCUUAUGACCUGGGCUACACACGUGCUACAAUGGGAAGUACAACGAGUUGCGAAGUCGCGAGGCUAAGCUAAUCUCUUAAAGCUUCUCUCAGUUCGGAUUGUAGGCUGCAACUCGCCUACAUGAAGCCGGAAUCGCUAGUAAUCGCGGAUCAGCACGCCGCGGUGAAUACGUUCCCGGGCCUUGUACACACCGCCCCGUCACACCACGAGAGUUUGUAACACCCGAAGUCGGUGAGGUAACCUUUUGGAGGCAGCCGCCUAAGGUGGGAUAGAUGAUUGGGGGUGAAGUCGUAACAAGGGUAA